GACAGAGGGGGCGGGCGUUGUCCGGAGUCACUGGGGGUAAAGCGCGCGCAGGCGGCAUCCUUAGUGUCGUGUGAAAGCCCCCGGCUCAACCGGGGGAGGCCAUGGCAAACUGGGUCGCUCGAGCUGCGGAGAGGCCCCUCGAAUUGCCGGUGUAGCGGUGAAAUGCGUAGAGAUCGGCAGGAAUACCAAGGGGGAAGCCAGGGGGCUGGCCGAAGGCUGACGCUGAGGCGCGACAGCGUGGGGAGCAAACCGU
rnacentral:rRNA from 1 species